rnacentral:rRNA from 1 species
GACGAACGCUGGCGGCGUGCCUAACACAUGCAAGUCGAGCGGAGACAGUGAGUAGCUUGCUAUGAGCUGUUUUAGCGGCGGACGGGUGAGUAACGCGUGAGCAACCUUUCCCAGACAGGGGAAUAACACACCGAAAGGUGUACUAAUACCGCAUAAGACCACGGUUUCACAUGGAACUGAGGUAAAAGAUUUAUCGGUUUGGGGUGGGCUCGCGUCCGAUUAGGUAGUUGGUGAGGUAACGGCCCACCAAGCCGACGAUCGGUAGCCGACCUGAGAGGGUGAUCGGCCACAUUGGGACUGAGAAACGGCCCAAACUCCUACGGGAGGCAGCAGUGGGGAAUAUUGGGCAAUGGAGGAAACUCUGACCCAGCAACGCCGCGUGGAGGAAGAAGGUUUUCGGAUCGUAAACUCCUGUCCUUGGAGACGAGUAGAAGACGGUAUCCAAGGAGGAAGCCCCGGCUAACUACGUGCCAGCAGCCGCGGUAAUACGUAGGGGGCAAGCGUUGUCCGGAAUAAUUGGGCGUAAAGGGCGCGUAGGCGGCUCGGUAAGUCUGGAGUGAAAGUCCUGCUUUUAAGGUGGGAAUUGCUUUGGAUACUGUCGGGCUUGAGUGCAGGAGAGGUUAGUGGAAUUCCCAGUGUAGCGGUGAAAUGCGUAGAGAUUGGGAGGAACACCAGUGGCGAAGGCGACUAACUGGACUGUAACUGACGCUGAGGCGCGAAAGUGUGGGGAGCAAACAGGAUUAGAUACCCUGGUAGUCCACACUGUAAACGAUGAAUGCUAGGUGUAGGGGGUAUCGACCCCUUCUGUGCCGCAGUCAACACAAUAAGCAUUCCGCCUGGGGAGUACGGCCGCAAGGUUGAAACUCAAAGGAAUUGACGGGGGCCCGCACAAGCAGCGGAGCAUGUGGUUUAAUUCGACGCAACGCGAAGAACCUUACCAGGUCUUGACAUCCACUUAAACUUACAGAGAUGUAAGGUGUGCUUGCACAAAGUGAGACAGGUGGUGCAUGGUUGUCGUCAGCUCGUGUCGUGA